AUAAUAAUAAUAAUAAUAAUAAUAGUAAUGUAUAUAAAAAAAAAAUGACGGAAUUAAUUGACCUAGAAAAAAAACAGUGUUAUUAGUCUUCAAAUAUGGAUGAAGUUACUGGGUACAAUAAUAUCAAUGAACUUGUUAAAUAAAAUAAGAAUUCAAAAUAAAAACAAAAAUUUUAUUUUCUCUAUUUGAAAAAAAAAAUAGUGGGUUACAAAAAAUUUAUUUUCCCUAUUUGAAAAAAAAAAAAAAUAGAAGGAUACAAAAAUUCUAUUUUUUUCUAUAUAUUUCCUUUUCUAUCUAACAAAAUUUUCCCCUUUAAAAAAAAAAAAAAAAAAAAUUACAAAAAUCCUAUUUUUUCAAUCUAUUUCCUUUUCUAUGUAACCUAUUAUCUCUAAAUUUCAUAGGUCCUCAAAACUGUGGGGCCAAGUGCUACAACGCACACGGCGUCUGAUGGUAGAAUCCAGCUGGCACGAGAAGAAACCCUAGCUCCCAGAUGCCUCUAUAUAACUACAAGCGUCACUCUGGCUUUUUCAGAGUUAGGGUUUUAUGCGUUUGUCCCAAGUUAGGGUUUUGAUGGUAGACGAGGUCAAUCGCCUCUCUCGCAGGUCUGUUCCUGGCCUCCCUAUUUCUCUCUUUUCACUCACAAUGGUAUGCACAGUCUUGUGUAAUAGAUGUACGAGUGGCUAAUUUACUGCUAAUUUUUUUGGCUUUUCUUUGUAAUAUCAAUCAUAUGUUUGAAUUGGAAAUUAGUUUAGUAUUGGAUGUGGAUCUGAGUUUAAAUCUACCAAUUUUACUACUAUUGUUUUAGAUAUAUUGUAUAUGUUCGUAUAUGGUCUGUUUAAAAAAUGGAGGUACUAUGAUGAUAUAUUGUGAUAAGGUCUCGUUCGUCGUAACGGCAGAUAUGCCUUGCCGACCAUCCUGAUAUAUCACCACCCAUAAACUGAGUCCUCACAUUCUUUAUUUCAUAUUUUUUAUUAUUAAUUUUUUUUUUUUUCUAAUAUUUUUAGCUGCGUGGCCGAUGAUUAUACGAAAAAAAAUUGACAAGCAUAUGUCUGAAACAUAUUGUGUUGAUUAUAUAAUCUUCUCUAUGAGGCCAAAUUGAUAGAUAGUAUUGUCUUUGUUGUAUUUAUGUAAUGUUAAAAGUUAUAUAUAAUUUUCCUAUGAUGAAGGAGAAUUUAUUGUCAUCUGAUAAAUUAUGAUUACAAUCAAAUCUACUGCCUUCCUUCUGAGGUUCAAAUUAUUUUUCUCAUUUAACAAAUGAAUAUCUAUUUUAUUUUUGUUAAUUUGUUUUUGUUUUUGUUUUUGUUUGUUAAGGGUGUGUGGUCAUGUGAUGAAUAGCAUAGUUCAACUGAUAAUCUUUGUGAUUAUAAAAUUUGAAUGUCUUUCGCUCCUAUCUGAUGACCACCAUUUUGCCUAAUUAAUAAUUGAUUUAAUCCUUCAUUCUAUUGUCUAUUUGUGUAUGUUAAUAGAAAAACUGGAUUUUGUUUUUUAAACGAGUGGUGCUAUUCUAAACGAUGACGAUGAGUGGUAGGGAGUAGCAGUCGUCGAACCGAAUGGCUUCAUUUGGUCCCAUAAAUCAGAGAACUCCGGGCUGGGACAUAGGUCAUCGUGAUUUUGGAGCACAAAACUUAAAAUUCCUUUAUUAUUUUCUAAAUGCUGCCGUGGUUGGUCAUGGCAGGUGUAUUAUUGGAGCAAGCGAAGACUAUCCCUAUGGAGUGUACUCCUACAUGUUCUACAAAGGAUCUGAUUUCUGAAUACUGAGAAGGCUAAAGCCUAAAGCUUCCCUAAUUGGGAGCAAAAAAGGCCACUAUAUGGAGCAAAAUACCUUACUGAAAUGUCAAAGUUAGCAAAUCAAUACGUAGCGAUUUACCCCAAUGUGACUUAAGGCAGCCCCUUGAAGCAUGUGACUUGUUUUACCAAUAUUGCCAUUCAUUAUUCUAUAAUGCCAAUGUUAGCAAAAGGUUUUCGUUGGAGAGAACAUAUAAACUUGAAUUUCAUAAUCUGAUUGUAUUUUGUUUAUUUUUCUUUUUUCCUUGAAUUGAUAAACUGAAUUUUUAUUUUUGUGUAUUGAAUUUUAUCAUUUGAAUCAACACUAAUAAUAUAUUUGUUA